rnacentral:rRNA from 1 species
CCUACGGGAGGCUGCAGUGGGGAAUAUUGGACAAUGGGGGGAACCCUGAUCCAGCCAUGCCGCGUGUGUGAAGAAGGCCCUCGGGUUGUAAAGCACUUUCAGUGAGGAAGAACGCCUGGUGGUUAAUACCCAUCAGGAAAGACAUCACUCACAGAAGAAGCACCGGCUAACUCCGUGCCAGCAGCCGCGGUAAUACGGAGGGUGCGAGCGUUAAUCGGAAUUACUGGGCGUAAAGCGCGCGUAUGUGGCUUGAUAAGCCGGUUGUGAAAGCCCCGGGCUCAACCUGGGAACGGCAUCCGGAACUGUCAAGCUAGAGUGCAGGAGAGGAAGGUAGAAUUCCCGGUGUAGCGGUGAAAUGCGUAGAGAUCGGGAGGAAUACCAGUGGCGAAGGCGGCCUUCUGGACUGACACUGACACUGAGGUGCGAAAGCGUGGGUAGCAAACAGGAUUAGAUACCCCGGUAGUC